GACGAACGCUGGCGGCGUGCCUAAUACAUGCAAGUCGAGCGGACGAAUCGAAAGCUUGCUUUUGAUUCGUUAGCGGCGGACGGGUGAGUAACACGUGGGCAACCUGCCCUGUAGACGGGGAUAACACCGAGAAGUCGGUGCUAAUACUGGAUAACACGAAAUGUCGCAUGACGUUUCGUUGAAAGACGGCGCAAGCUGUCGCUACAGGAUGGGCCCGCGGCGCAUUAGCUAGUUGGUGAGGUAACGGCUCACCAAGGCGACGAUGCGUAGCCGACCUGAGAGGGUGAUCGGCCACACUGGGACUGAGACACGGCCCAGACUCCUACGGGAGGCAGCAGUAAGGAAUCUUCCGCAAUGGACGAAAGUCUGACGGAGCAACGCCGCGUGAGCGAAGAAGGCCUUCGGGUCGUAAAGCUCUGUUGUUAGGGAAGAACAAGUAACGCAGUAACUGGCGUUACCGUGACGGUACCUAACGAGAAAGCCACGGCUAACUACGUG
rnacentral:rRNA from 1 species